rnacentral:ribozyme from 1 species
AUCCUUUUAUUUCGUCCCCCGUGAGAGCGAUAGAGU